ACGCUGGCGGCGUGCCUAAUACAUGCAAGUAGAACGCUGAAGAGAGGAGCUUGCUCUUCUUGGAUGAGUUGCGAACGGGUGAGUAACGCGUAGGUAACCUGCCUUGUAGCGGGGGAUAACUAUUGGAAACGAUAGCUAAUACCGCAUAACAAUGGAUGACACAUGUCAUUUAUUUGAAAGGGGCAAUUGCUCCACUACAAGAUGGACCUGCGUUGUAUUAGCCAGUAGGUGAGGUAACGGCUCACCUAGGCGACGAUACAUAGCCGACCUGAGAGGGUGAUCGGCCACACUGGGACUGAGACACGGCCCAGACUCCUACGGGAGGCAGCAGUAGGGAAUCUUCGGCAAUGGGGGCAACCCUGAUCGAGCUACGCCGCGUGAGUGAAGAAGGUUUUCGGAUCGUAAAGCUCUGUUGUAAGUCAAGAACGAGUGUGAGAGUGGAAAGUUCACACUGUGACGGUAGCUUACCAGAAAGGGACGGCUAACUACGUGCCAGCAGCCGCGGUAAUACGUAGGUCCCGAGCGUUGUCCGGAUUUAUUGGGCGUAAAGCGAGCGCAGGCGGUUUGAUAAGUCUGAAGUUAAAGGCUGUGGCUCAACCAUAGUUCGCUUUGGAAACUGUCAAACUUGAGUGCAGAAGGGGAGAGUGGAAUUCCAUGUGUAGCGGUGAAAUGCGUAGAUAUAUGGAGGAACACCGGUGGCGAAAGCGGCUCUCUGGUCUGUAACUGACGCUGAGGCUCGAAAGCGUGGGGAGCGAACAGGAUUAGAUACCCUGGUAGUCCACGCCGUAAACGAUGAGUGCUAGGUGUUGGAUCCUUUCCGGGAUUCAGUGCCGCAGCUAACGCAUUAAGCACUCCGCCUGGGGAGUACGACCGCAAGGUUGAAACUCAAAGGAAUUGACGGGGGCCCGCACAAGCGG
rnacentral:rRNA from 1 species